CCUACGGGUGGCUGCAGUGGGGAAUAUUGCACAAUGGGCGAAAGCCUGAUGCAGCAACGCCGCGUGAGCGAAGAAGGCCUUUGGGUCGUAAAGCUCUGUCGGGAAGGAAGAUAAUGACGGUACUUCCCGAGGAAGCCCCGGCUAACUACGUGCCAGCAGCCGCGGUAAUACGUAGGGGGCGAGCGUUAUCCGGAAUUAUUGGGCGUAAAGAGUGCGUAGGUGGUUUUUUAAGCGUGUGGUGAAAGGCAAUAGCUCAACUAUUGUAAGCCUCGCGAACUGGAAGACUUGAGUGCAGGAGAGGAAAGCGGAAUUCCUAGUGUAGCGGUGAAAUGCGUAGAUAUUAGGAGGAACACCAGUGGCGAAGGCGGCUUUCUGGACUGUAACUGACACUGAGGCACGAAAGCGUGGGGAGCAAACAGGAUUAGAUACCCCUGUAGUC
rnacentral:rRNA from 1 species